ensembl:lncRNA
CGUAAACGUGAUGGCGCAAACAACCACGAAGAUGAAAGAAUAAUUCUGUUUAUUACAAAAGACUGAAGAUAUAACUGCCGCCAUCCUUUAAUUUAUUUAUUUCUACAUUGAGGACACUUUAUAAACCUACAGAGAUACCGGACCAACGAACAACCUUCACAAGGGAUGGAGCUAAUUAAUGUUAACGGUUACUUGUAAAUUCAAAGCGUAACGGUCAUCUGACAACUGUGCUGAGCCAAGGGACGGGAACAGCAACAAGAGUUUAACUUCUGAUUCGUAAUCUACACACUCUACUGGGCAGUUCAUGAAGACAGAGAGAUGUUGUGCCGACCAGAACAGUUCCUCCUACCACACCAGACUCUGCUGUAUAUGAAUGCUUGUCCACUAGCACUGGACAUUUACAACAUUUUGGCGCCAGGGAUCCCUUGCAGAGAAGAUUUUUCAAAGACACCCUCAGAAUUACAACAGAUUUUAAGGCUUAAAAUUAUUGUGGGUGGGAGUAUAAUGAACAUAAUAUGAUUGUUUUAUUUUAUUAUUAUUAUUUAUUUUUUAUUUUUAAAUAGUUCCCAUUUUUUUAAUAGUACAUUUGUUUAAUAAUACAGCACAAUAUAGGGCUAAGUUGCACCAGGUCAGGAAAAAACACAUAAGUUGCAUCUGUGUAUAAGACACAUUUUACUAUUAAUUUCAGAAAUAAUUUAAAUACUGAUAAAUAAAACAAACGUUAAGAAACUUAAAAACUAUAAACACUGUAAAGAUUUUAUUUUCCC